AGAGUUUGAUCCUGGCUCAGGAUGAACGCUAGCCAGGCUUAACACAUGCAAGUCGAGGGGAAACGAUAUUGGAAGCUUGCUUCCGAUAGGCGUCGACCGGCGCACGGGUGAGUAACGCGUAUCCAACCUGCCCACCACUUGGGGAUAACCUUGCGAAAGUAAGACUAAUACCCAAUGAUAUCUCUAGAAGACAUCUGAAAGAGAUUAAAGAUUUAUCGGUGAUGGAUGGGGAUGCGUCUGAUUAGCUUGUUGGCGGGGUAACGGCCCACCAAGGCAACGAUCAGUAGGGGUUCUGAGAGGAAGGUCCCCCACAUUGGAACUGAGACACGGUCCAAACUCCUACGGGAGGCAGCAGUGAGGAAUAUUGGUCAAUGGACGAGAGUCUGAACCAGCCAAGUAGCGUGCAGGAAGACGGCCCUAUGGGUUGUAAACUGCUUUUAUAAGGGAAUAAAGUGAGAGUCGUGACUCUUUUUGCAUGUACCUUAUGAAUAAGGACCGGCUAAUUCCGUGCCAGCAGCCGCGGUAAUACGGAAGGUCCGGGCGUUAUCCGGAUUUAUUGGGUUUAAAGGGAGCGUAGGCCGGAGAUUAAGCGUGUUGUGAAAUGUAGACGCUCAACGUCUGCACUGCAGCGCGAACUGGUUUCCUUGAGUACGCACAAAGUGGGCGGAAUUCGUGGUGUAGCGGUGAAAUGCUUAGAUAUCACGAAGAACUCCGAUUGCGAAGGCAGCUCACUGGAGCGCAACUGACGCUGAAGCUCGAAAGUGCGGGUAUCGAACAGGAUUAGAUACCCUGGUAGUCCGCACGGUAAACGAUGGAUGCCCGCUGUUGGUCUGAAUAGGUCAGCGGCCAAGCGAAAGCAUUAAGCAUCCCACCUGGGGAGUACGCCGGCAACGGUGAAACUCAAAGGAAUUGACGGGGGCCCGCACAAGCGGAGGAACAUGUGGUUUAAUUCGAUGAUACGCGAGGAAUCUUACCCGGGCUCGAACGGCACCUGGAUCACCCAGAGAUGGGCGAGUCUUCGGACAGGUGUCGAGGUGCUGCAUGGUUGUCGUCAGCUCGUGCCGUGAGGUGUCGGCUCAAGUGCCAUAACGAGCGCAACCCUUGCCGCCAGUUGCCAUCAGGUGAUGCUGGGCACUCUGGCGGGACUGCCACCGCAAGGUGUGAGGAGGGGGGGGAUGACGUCAAAUCAGCACGGCCCUUACGUCCGGGGCGACACACGUGUUACAAUGGCGGCCACAGAGGGAAGCUACCCCGCGAGGGGAUGCGGAUCUCGAAAAGCCGUCCCAGUUCGGACUGGAGUCUGCAACCCGACUCCACGAAGUUGGAUUCGCUAGUAAUCGCGCAUCAGCCAUGGCGCGGUGAAUACGUUCCCGGGCCUUGUACACACCGCCCGUCAAGCCAUGGAAGCCGCGGGCGCCUGAAGUCCGUGACCGGAAGGAGCGGCCUAGGGCGAAAGUGGUAACUGGGGCUAAGUCGUAACAAGGUA
rnacentral:rRNA from 1 species